UACGUAGGGAGCGAGCGUUGUCCGGAAUUACUGGGUGUAAAGGGAGCGUAGGCGGGGAUGCAAGUUGGGUGUUAAAUCUACCGGCUCAACUGGUAGUCGCACUCAAAACUGCAGCUCUUGAGUGAAGUAGAGGCAGGCGGAAUUCCUAGUGUAGCGGUGAAAUGCGUAGAGAUUAGGAAGAACACCAGUGGCGAAGGCGACUUACUGGACUGUAACUGACGCUGAGGCAUGAGAGCAUGGGGAGCAAACAGG
rnacentral:rRNA from 1 species